UACGUAGGUGGCAAGCGUUGUCCGGAAUUAUUGGGCGUAAAGAGCUCGUAGGCGGUUUGUCGCGUCUGCUGUGAAAGACCGGGGCUCAACUCCGGUUCUGCAGUGGGUACGGGCAGACUAGAGUGAUGUAGGGGAGACUGGAAUUCCUGGUGUAGCGGUGAAAUGCGCAGAUAUCAGGAGGAACACCGAUGGCGAAGGCAGGUCUCUGGGCAUUAACUGACGCUGAGGAGCGAAAGCAUGGGGAGCGAACAGG
rnacentral:rRNA from 1 species